rnacentral:tRNA from 1 species
GGGGAAUUAGCUUAAGUGGUAGAGCGCUCGCUUAGCAUGUGAGAGGUACAGGGAUCGAUAUCCUGAUUCACCA